UUACAGAUGGAGAGCAAGGCUGCAGCAUUCUCCAAGUCAAGGGGAGAGCGAGCACGCUAUCCUUGGAACGCAAGAAUUUCAGGCUCUCUUUUCCAGGAUUUGCAGUAAACCAUGUAGGGAUGACUUCGGAUGAGGGCUGUUGGGUCUGGGAAGCUGUCUACAAGUGGAAUGGGGGUCUUGAGACAGACCUGAAUCUUAUUCCUGACUCUUCUGCUUACUUGCAGUAUAUGUCUCUAGGAGAAACGAUUUAAUGUCCUCCACAUCUCAGUUUCGCAUCCCCUAAAUCAGCUCUGACACUAGCUUUGUUUGAAAGAUUCUGUUAGUGCAAGUUUAGGCAGCUGAAGAGGGAGGAGACCUGUAAAGUAGCUCUCUGGUGUUGGUUAUGGCGGACUUCACUCUGUGUGGAGACAAGACCAGCCUUGGGACUGCCCUAAUCUGUCAGCUGGUUACAUUCCCUUGGCUAAGUACAGACAGCCAAAAAGCCCAAGGCUGAAUCGAUUCAGUCUUCACAGCCCAAAAUAGCUAGCUACCGUAGUGGACCUUGUACUGGAGAUCUGUGCCCUACUGCAGAUGGCUGACAUACCCCUCUUGACUGAAUCCUUGGUCCAGAAACGGGCAUAACAUCUACAAAGGACAUGUGUCUCUUGGCCAGACAGUUGGCUGAAAUGAAGCAGAUGUCGACACCCAAACUUUCAAACAGCAAGGUACCUUAAACUGUGCAUGCUAUUCUGACUUGUUCAGAGAGCUUAAGUUCCUCAAGAAUGAAGAAACCAUCAGCUGCAGGUGAGGUUUGUGAAAAAUGGAGACAAGGCCUUCUCAGUCCCAGGAACAAGAUUUUGGAACCUUUUAAGAAAGAAUGAACAGUCCUGUUGCCUGCUGUGUCAAACUCUGCUACUUUCUCAUAGUGGUGAAGAGGAGGGGAGUGAAGGCAAGACGUAAGAAGCACACAUGGUUUUUAAAGAAGAAAAUUUUAAACAUUGGCUCCUUAUGACUUGAUUUACUAUCUUUUGGAGUGGCCUAUGAUUAUAGAUCCCAGAACCGGGAAGAUGCUUUUUGUGUAACUGAUGUUGCACGUCUAGUGGAUAGAACCUAACUAGCAUCUUUCUGCCCCAGUUAUUUAAUAAAAAAUAUGUGGAUAUUUCUCACUAAACUACAAAUGUUAUAGUAGAUCAUACUUCCGUUCCAAGCUUAGUUCUCUUUAAGAUA